rnacentral:rRNA from 1 species
AUGGCUUCAGGGUCGGGGGUGCCCGAUCUGGAAACCAUGAUGGAAGAGCUCGGGUUGAACAAAGAGAAUAUUCAAGAUGUGAUUGUUGAGGAUGACGAUCUACCGGAAGAAUCUGUCAGAUGGAUGGCGAUUGCUAGGGUACAUACGGAUAAAACUUACAGUCAGUACUAGUUCUACCGCAAUAUGAGGGCCGCAUGGGAUCUUGCUCGAGAAGUUAAGAUCCGCCCGCUGGAAGAUAAUCUAUAUACUAUGCAGUUCAUGUGCCUCGGUGACUGGGAG